rnacentral:rRNA from 1 species
GUCUUUUUGGUUAUUUAAUAUAAAGUCUGACCUGCCCACUGAAUUUAUUUUGAAGGGCCGCAGUAUUUUGACUGUGCAAAGGUAGCAUAAUCAUUAGUCUUUUAAUUGAAGGCUGGUAUGAAUGGUUGGAUGAGGUACAAGCUGUGUCAUAAAAAUUAACUUUUGAAUUUACCUUUUUAGUCAAAAGGCUAAAAUAAAAUUAAAAGACGAGAAGACCCUAUAGAGCUUUAUAUAAUUUAUAUUUAAAUUAUUAAGAUUUUUUAAAUUUAAUUAUUUUAUUAUAUUUUGUUGGGGUGACAAUAAAAUUUAUAAAACUUUUAUUUUUAUUAACCAUUUAUUUAUGAAUAUAUGAUCCAGUUUUAUUGAUUAUAAAUUUAAGUUACCUUAGGGAUAACAGCGUAAUUUUUUUUGAGAGUUCUUAUCGACAAAAAAGAUUGCGACCUCGAUGUUGGAUUAAGAGUAAUUUUGGGUGUAGAAGUUCAAAGUUUAAGUCUGUUCGACUUUUAAAUUCUUACAU